UGCGGGAAAUGUAUGUUUUUGAAUUGUGCAACAAAGAUGUGGAAAAAAUGUGUUUUAGUGCGUUUAGCAUGAUAUUUAUGAUGUAUGUUAUACAAUCCAGUGCAUAAUACUCAAUAAGCAAUCGUUCAAAAAUUGUUGGGCCACUGAGCUACUACCAGCUCUUUGAGUUUCCUAUACAAGUAGUCACUGUUUUGUUUACAAGAACAACAGUUGAAAGAAUAACAUCAAGUUCAACAGCAUACAAUUUUCGUUUGCCAAAUGCCAGACACAUCGACGGUGCAAUUAACCUUCCUUCAACCCGUGUAUGAUUUAAAUUUUCAAAGUGAACUAAGAAUAUCUCCAUCCCUCAACGAUGCAACACAUUAUUAGGCUUAGCAUGGGGCAGCGUUUGAUAAGGAGAUUUGUCAAAGUGGUCGAAGAUCGCGACGAUAAUGAUGUUUUUGAUAUCUUUUGAAGUAAUGCGGCGGAGUCUGGUCCAGCAAAUAGAAUCCCACGAGUCAGCAGACAAAAAUUUGGCAUUUCUAUUCUGUUUGGCAUUCGAACUCUAACCGUGAUGGCAAAAAAGUGAAGCAACUUCGUUAUAAAGCGUGCGCGAUCAACGAACGGCACCCCGUAGCGUCUAAAACGGAUUCCGUGCGUUAGUUUGUUAACGUCGUAUAAGCCUAUUUGUGAUUUCUACAACAUUUUGGCUCUAUUCGGCAAUAAUCAGAGCAUCGAAAGAAAGCCCAGUUCCGAAUGGUCGACAUCUCUGAGCGACAACAAGCUCCAAAGAACGCAUGAUCUACAAGCUCUACUCCAAUAAUUUUGUCGCGAAAAAUGAGGAGUAAUUGAUAUAAAUCGAAGGUAGAUCGUAAAAAUCGUGCCUAAACGCAUGUCAUCGUCCGACAUGUCGAAAAUUCCGGAUAUCUGACUACAUGCAGCUCGCAAGGUUGAAGAUUUAUUUUUACAAGCAAACUUGAAUUACCUUAAACAAACAAUU